GCCGGUGUAGCUCAGUGGCUAGAGCAGUACCCUCAUAAAGUACAAGUCGCUGGUUCGAUUCCAGCCACCGGCACCA
rnacentral:tRNA from 1 species